UCAUCAAUGCCCAAGUCACAAGCUUUGAAGAACCAAAACAAAAUGUAAACAGAGAAUUCAGAACCCCAGAAAUCUUGCUCAGCUGAAGAAACCACUGGGAGCCGUCAGGGUCAGGUUCAGCGGAGUGACAGCCUUCCACAUAGCGGCGGUUUCAACGAGAGAGAAGCUGCUUUCUCUUUCACGUGAAAGUUGAGAAACGGGCUGAGGGGUGGCCCUGUCUUGCGAAGCCUUCAAAGACUGAGGCCCGAGCCAUCGCCCUGGAGGCAUGAUCCUCCCGAGACCUCGGGGUCCAGAAUGGCAGCUGGAGCUCCAGCCAUCACGGCUACAUUCCAGGAUGGAAGAAGGAUGAAGAAGGCGCAGGCCACUUACCUCUAAGGAAGAUUCCUGGAAGCUGCAACAUGUCGUUUCUUUCUUUCUUAUCUCCCAUUGGCGCCGGCGCCGCACUCGGCUGCGGGAGAAGCUAGGGUGACGGUUCUUUGUUAAGCCAAGUGAGCCUGAACCAGAGAGCCCUUGGCCGUUUAGAAGAAUCAGAUCCAAAGUCUCUCCAGAAACCCUUUGAGACCACUUGGGAUUUCUAUGAAAUCCCGCCAAAGAUGAGCUCACAAUCAAAAAUUACAAACGUGUUCCAGGACCUACAAGAAGGAAUCAGACGCAGAAGAAAAUAACAAGUCACCAUGAAAAUAAAACAGAAAAAUUUCAGAAGGAACCUAAAAGGAUUUCUGGAAAUAAACAAUUACACAAAAGCUCUAUGUUUGAGAACGCUGUGUUCUAGCCAUAGUG